UACCGAGUGAGGGCCCUCUGGGUCCAACCUCCCACCCGUGUCUAUCGUACCUUGUUGCUUCGGCGGGCCCGCCGUUUCGACGGCCGCCGGGGAGGCCUUGCGCCCCCGGGCCCGCGCCCGCCGAAGACCCCAACAUGAACGCUGUUCUGAAAGUAUGCAGUCUGAGUUGAUUAUCGUAAUCAGUUAAAACUUUCAACAACGGAUCUCUUGGUUCCGGCAUCGAUGAAGAACGCAGCGAAAUGCGAUAAGUAAUGUGAAUUGCAGAAUUCAGUGAAUCAUCGAGUCUUUGAACGCACAUUGCGCCCCCUGGUAUUCCGGGGGGCAUGCCUGUCCGAGCGUCAUUGCUGCCCUCAAGCACGGCUUGUGUGUUGGGCCCCCGUCCCCCUCUCCCGGGGGACGGGCCCGAAAGGCAGCGGCGGCACCGCGUCCGGUCCUCGAGCGUAUGGGGCUUUGUCACCUGCUCUGUAGGCCCGGCCGGCGCCAGCCGACACCCAACUUUAUUUUUCUAAGGUUGACCUCGGAUCAGGUAGGGAUAC
rnacentral:rRNA from 1 species